rnacentral:rRNA from 1 species
GAUGAACGCUGGCGGCGUGCCUAAUACAUGCAAGUCGAGCGAACAGACGAGGAGCUUGCUCCUCUGACGUUAGCGGCGGACGGGUGAGUAACACGUGGAUGACCUACCUAUAAGACUGGGAUAACUUCGGGAAACCGGAGCUAAUACCGGAUAAUAUAUUGAGCCGCAUGGUUCAAUAGUGAAAGACGGUUUUGCUGUCACUUAUAGAUGGAUCCGCGCCGCAUUAGCUAGUUGGUAAGGUAACGGCUUACCAAGGCGACGAUGCGUAGCCGACCUGAGAGGGUGAUCGGCCACACUGGAACUGAGACACGGUCCAGACUCCUACGGGAGGCAGCAGUAGGGAAUCUUCCGCAAUGGGCGAAAGCCUGACGGAGCAACGCCGCGUGAGUGAUGAAGGUCUUCGGAUCGUAAAACUCUGUUAUUAGGGAAGAACAAAUGUGUAAGUAACUAUGCACGUCUUGACGGUACCUAAUCAGAAAGCCACGGCUAACUACGUG